CCUGGGAAAAUACUACUCCAAACAAAUUUUGUUACUGAGAAACUGAAAUGCUGAAUAGAUGAGCAGAGGUUAGUGUUUCUAGUUUUACAAGUCAUUCCCGUGCAGGACAGUUCCACUGUGGGCUCUGUGGUGCUGCUGACCCGCUCUAGCAGCAAUUUAUCAUCGGCACUGACAGUCCUGGACCAACAUCUCCUGUGGAAAUCUGCAGUCCCUGCAGGGGAAAAGUCUGAAAGGUGGAUGGCUUUGAGAUCCGUCUGAUCGCUGUUGCACUCAAAGCCCAGCAUCACUGCUCCUGCCUUUGUGUCAGCUCUUGUGCCUCAGGGCCAAGGCUGUGCUGGCUUAAUCAGAGCAAUGGAGAGUGUGGCUGUGUGCAGUGGUUUCCUCCAGGAGCAGUGGAGGCUGCAUUGCCCUCAGCCUGUGGCCCUCUCUUAGAGCUACCUUGCUUAGGAGGCUAAAU